rnacentral:tRNA from 1 species
GGAGGGGUACCCGAGUGGCCAAAGGGGACGGGCUGUAAACCCGUUGGCAUAGCCUACGGAGGUUCAAAUCCUCCCCCCUCCACCA